AGAGUUUGAUCCUGGCUCAGAUUGAACGCUGGCGGCAGGCUUAACACAUGCAAGUCGAGCGGUAACAGAGAUAGCUUGCUAUCUGCUGACGAGCGGCGGACGGGUGAGUAAUGCUUGGGAAAUAUGCCUUUGAGUGGGGGACAACAGUUGGAAACGACUGCUAAUACCGCAUAACGUCUACGGACCAAAGGGGGGGAUCUUCGGACCUCUCGCUCAUUGAUUAGCCCAAGUGAGAUUAGCUAGUUGGUAAGGUAAUGGCUUACCAAGGCGACGAUCUCUAGCUGGUUUGAGAGGAUGAUCAGCCACACUGGGACUGAGACACGGCCCAGACUCCUACGGGAGGCAGCAGUGGGGAAUAUUGCACAAUGGGCGAAAGCCUGAUGCAGCCAUGCCGUGUGUGUGAAGAAGGCCUUCGGGUUGUAAAGCACUUUCAGUUGUGAGGAAAGGGGUGUAGUUAAUAGCUGCAUCCUAUGACGUUAGCAACAGAAGAAGCACC
rnacentral:rRNA from 1 species